AUUGAACGCUGGCGGCAUGCCUUACACAUGCAAGUCGAACGGCAGCGGACCUUCGGGUGCCGGCGAGUGGCGAACGGGUGAGUAAAGUAUCGGAACGUACCUUUCAGUGGGGGAUAACGUAGCGAAAGUUACGCUAAUACCGCAUCUUCGGUGAGCAGGAAAGCAGGGGAUCGCAAGACCUUGCGCUGAUUGAGCGGCCGAUAUCAGAUUAGCUAGUUGGUGAGGUAAAGGCUCACCAAGGCGACGAUCUGUAGCGGGUCUGAGAGGAUGAUCCGCCACACUGGAACUGAGACACGGUCCAGACUCCUACGGGAGGCAGCAGUGGGGAAUUUUGGACAAUGGGGGCAACCCUGAUCCAGCCAUGCCGCGUGAGUGAAGAAGGCCUUCGUGUUGUAAAGCUCUUUCGGCCGGGAAGAAAUCGCUUAGGUUAAUACCCUGAGUGGAUGACGGUACCGGAAUAAGAAGCACCGGCUAACUACGUGCCAGCCGCCGCGGUAA
rnacentral:rRNA from 1 species